GAUGAACGCUGGCGGCGUGCCUAAUACAUGCAAGUCGAGCGAACAGACGAGGAGCUUGCUCCUCUGACGUUAGCGGCGGACGGGUGAGUAACACGUGGAUAACCUACCUAUAAGACUGGGAUAACUUCGGGAAACCGGAGCUAAUACCGGAUAAUAUAUUGAACCGCAUGGUUCAAUAGUGAAAGACGGUUUUGCUGUCACUUAUAGAUGGAUCCGCGCCGCAUUAGCUAGUUGGUAAGGUAACGGCUUACCAAGGCAACGAUGCGUAGCCGACCUGAGAGGGUGAUCGGCCACACUGGAACUGAGACACGGUCCAGACUCCUACGGGAGGCAGCAGUAGGGAAUCUUCCGCAAUGGGCGAAAGCCUGACGGAGCAACGCCGCGUGAGCGAUGAAGGUCUUCGGAUCGUAAAACUCUGUUAUUAGGGAAGAACAAAUGUGUAAGUAACUAUGCACGUCCUGACGGUACCUAAUCAGAAAGCCACGGCUAACUACGUG
rnacentral:rRNA from 1 species